CUUUAUUCCCAUAGAGCUCUGCGGUUUGGUGUCAUUGCGAAGGUACACCAAGGCAUUGUCUACACUUCAGAGAUCUUCACUUGUGGAAAAAUAUUGACAGAAACCUCAAGAAAGAAUGAGUGUUCUCAGUGAGGCCUUGAAAUACAAUAACUAUGAUGCUGAUCCCAUGUUGUGUGCUUGUGGAGUUUCAAUAGCCACACAAUUUACGCAAAUUGAUGGACGUGUCUUAUCAGCUCCUAGGAAAGAAUUAUUUUGGGCAGUUGAAGGUUGGUAAUGGCGAAGAUUUUUUCCCAAGAUACGGACGAUGUAUUUGAUAUAAACUAAUUGAGCCAUGGACUGUCGAUCGCUGGGCAGUUGUAAACUUUUCUGCUCGUUGUGAUGUACGAGGGCUGAUAAGAGAUCUGAUCGAGUGUGGGAAUAUGAAGGGAAUUACUAUAGAGCAGCCAUUUGAUGUAUUUGAUGAGAACCCUUCUAUGAGGUGUGGUACACCCAUUGCUAGAGUAGAAGAUAUGUUUGAGCAGGUUAAGUCCAAGCUUCCAGGUGCUCCCAGAUUUCUCCUUUCUCUCCUUGCAGAGAGAGAGUUCUGACAUUUACGGUUUGAUUUCCUUCUACCACUCUUCUGCUACACUCUACAUAUAAUGUUGGAAGCCCGGUAUUAUCAUCUUCACAACCCCUUUCCUGGACCUUGGAAGCGAAAAUGUCUUGCUGACUUUGGCAUUGUUACUCAGUGCAUGGCCCCAACAAGAGUCGAUGACCAAUACAUAACAAAUGUGCUUUUGAAAAUCAAUGCCGAGCUUGGUGGCAUGAAUUCAAUUCUGCAAGUUGAACAGUCACCUUCGAUGGCUCUGAUUUCCAAGAGUCCAAUGAUUAUACUGGGGAUGGAUGUAUCUCAUGGCUCUCAUGGCAAUCA